rnacentral:rRNA from 1 species
AACUGACGCUGAGGCACGAAAGUGUGGGUAGCAAACAGGAUUAGAUACCCUGGUAGUCCACACCCUAAACGAUGAUAACUCGAUGUUGGCGAUACACAGUCAGCGUCUAAGCGAAAGCAUUAAGUUAUCCACCUGGGAAGUACGACCGCAAGGUUGAAACUCAAAGGAAUUGACGGGGGCCCGCACAAGCGGAGGAGCAUGUGGUUUAAUUCGAUGAUACGCGAGGAACCUUACCUGGGCUUGAAAGUUAGUGACCGUCCCUGAAAGGGGACCUUCAGCAAUGACACGAAACUAGGUGCUGCAUGGCUGUCGUCAGCUCGUGCCGUGAGGUGUUGGGUUAAGUCCCGUAACGAGCGCAACCCCUAUCAUUAGUUGCCAACAGGUUAAGCUGGGGACUCUAAUGAGACUGCCCGCGCAAGCGGUGAGGAAGGUGGGGAUGACGUCAAGUCAUCACGGCCCUUACGUCCAGGGCUACACACGUGCUACAAUGGCAGAUACAGAAGGUUGCCACAUAGUAAUAUGGAGCUAAUCCCAAAAGUCUGUCUCAGUUCGGAUUGAGGUCUGCAACUCGACCUCAUGAAGCUGGAUUCGCUAGUAAUCGAAAAUCAGCAAUGUUUCGGUGAAUACGUUCCCGGGCCUUGUACACACCGCCCGUCAAGCCAUGGAAGUCGGGAGUACCUGAAGUCGAUAACCGCAAGGAGUCGCCUAGGGUAAAAUCGAUGACUGGGGCUAAGUCGUAACAAGGUAACC